rnacentral:rRNA from 1 species
CAGCCCUAAACGAUGCGCGUUAGGUGUAUCGGUGACCACGAGUCACCGAGGUGCCGAAGGGAAACCGUGAAACGUGCCGCCUGGGAAGUACGGUCGCAAGGCUGAAACUUAAAGGAAUUGGCGGGGGGAGCACCACAACGGGUGGAGCCUGCGGUUUAAUUGGACUCAACGCCGGGAAGCUCACCGGAUAAGACAGCGGAAUGAUUGCCGGGCUGAAGACUCUGCAUGACUAGCUGAGAGGAGGUGCAUGGCGUAGUCGUGU